GAUGAACGCUGGCAGCGUGCCUAAUACAUGCAAGUCGAGCGAACGGACGAGAAGCUUGCUUCUCUGAUGUUAGCGGCGGACGGGUGAGUAACACGUGGAUAACCUACCUAUAAGACUGGGAUAACUUCGGGAAACCGGAGCUAAUACCGGAUAAUAUUUUGAACCGCAUGGUUCAAAAGUGAAAGACGGUCUUGCUGUCACUUAUAGAUGGAUCCGCGCUGCAUUAGCUAGUUGGUAAGGUAACGGCUUACCAAGGCAACGAUGCAUAGCCGACCUGAGAGGGUGAUCGGCCACACUGGAACUGAGACACGGUCCAGACUCCUACGGGAGGCAGCAGUAGGGAAUCUUCCGCAAUGGGCGAAAGCCUGACGGAGCAACGCCGCGUGAGUGAUGAAGGUCUUCGGAUCGUAAAACUCUGUUAUUAGGGAAGAACAUAUGUGUAAGUAACUGUGCACAUCUUGACGGUACCUAAUCAGAAAGCCACGGCUAACUACGUGCCAGCAGCCGCGGUAAUACGUAGGUGGCAAGCGUUAUCCGGAAUUAUUGGGCGUAAAGCGCGCGUAGGCGGUUUUUUAAGUCUGAUGUGAAAGCCCACGGCUCAACCGUGGAGGGUCAUUGGAAACUGGAAAACUUGAGUGCAGAAGAGGAAGGUGGAAUUCCAUGUGUAGCGGUGAAAUGCGCAGAGAUAUGGAGGAACACCAGUGGCGAAGGCGACUUUCUGGUCUGUAACUGACGCUGAUGUGCGAAAGCGUGGGGAUCAAACAGGAUUAGAUACCCUGGUAGUCCACGCCGUAAACGAUGAGUGCUAAGUGUUAGGGGGUUUCCGCCCCUUAGUGCUGCAGCUAACGCAUUAAGCACUCCGCCUGGGGAGUACGACCGCAAGGUUGAAACUCAAAGGAAUUGACGGGGACCCGCACAAGCGGUGGAGCAUGUGGUUUAAUUCGAAGCAACGCGAAGAACCUUACCAAAUCUUGACAUCCUUUGACAACUCUAGAGAUAGAGCCUUCCCCUUCGGGGGACAAAGUGACAGGUGGUGCAUGGUUGUCGUCAGCUCGUGUCGUGAGAUGUUGGGUUAAGUCCCGCAACGAGCGCAACCCUUAAGCUUAGUUGCCAUCAUUAAGUUGGGCACUCUAAGUUGACUGCCGGUGACAAACCGGAGGAAGGUGGGGAUGACGUCAAAUCAUCAUGCCCCUUAUGAUUUGGGCUACACACGUGCUACAAUGGACAAUACAAAGGGCAGCGAAACCGCGAGGUCAAGCAAAUCCCAUAAAGUUGUUCUCAGUUCGGAUUGUAGUCUGCAACUCGACUACAUGAAGCUGGAAUCGCUAGUAAUCGUAGAUCAGCAUGCUACGGUGAAUACGUUCCCGGGUCU
rnacentral:rRNA from 1 species